rnacentral:rRNA from 2 species
UCCGUAGGUGAACCUGCGGAAGGAUCAUUACCUAGAGUUGUAGGCUUUGCCUGCUAUCUCUUACCCAUGUCUUUUGAGUACCUUACGUUUCCUCGGUGGGUUCGCCCACCGAUUGGACAAACUUAAACCCUUUGCAGUUGAAAUCAGCGUCUGAAAAAACUUAAUAGUUACAACUUUCAACAACGGAUCUCUUGGUUCUGGCAUCGAUGAAGAACGCAGCGAAAUGCGAUAAGUAGUGUGAAUUGCAGAAUUCAGUGAAUCAUCGAAUCUUUGAACGCACAUUGCGCCCCUUGGUAUUCCAUGGGGCAUGCCUGUUCGAGCGUCAUUUGUACCUUCAAGCUCUGCUUGGUGUUGGGUGUUUGUCUCCUGUAGACUCGCCUUAAAACAAUUGGCAGCCGGCGUAUUGAUUUCGGAGCGCAGUACAUCUCGCGCUUUGCACUCAUAACGACGACAUCCAAAAGUACAUUUUUACACUCUUGACCUCGGAUCAGGUAGGGAUACCCGCUGAACUUAAGCAUAUCAAUAAGCGGAGGA